rnacentral:tRNA from 1 species
GGGCGCUUGGUCUAGGGGUAGUAAGUUCAUCGGAAUCGUGCUCUCCAGCAACUUCUAACAGUGAUAGUGAUUUUCCUUUCGCACAAGCUUGUUAUCAAGCGAAGUCGAUCCUAGGAAAGGUCGUGGGUUCAAUUCCCACAGUGUCCA